rnacentral:rRNA from 1 species
AAAGCAUGGGUCGCAGCGUGACGGAGCAUGCCGCGUGAGGGAAGAAUGCCUUUGGGUUGUAAACCUCUUUUUUCAGGGAGGAAUAAAAUGACGUGUACCUGAAAAAUACCCAUCGGCUACCUCCGUGCCAGCAGCCGCGGUAAGACGGAGGAUGCAAGUGUUAUCCGGAAUCGUGGGGCGUAAAGCGUCUGUGGGUGGUUUAAUAAGUCAACUGUUAAAUCUUGAUGGCUCACUUUCAAAAUCCCGGGCUAAACUUUUAAACUAGAUUAUAGAAGGGGAAAGGGGAUUUUCCGGGGGGGGGGUGAAAUGCUUAGAUUUUGAAAAAAACCCCUAUGGAAAGGGCUUUUUACUGGUUUUUUACUAACUCUCAGAGACAAAGGCUGGGGUACAAAAGGGUAUUAUACCCCCCAAUACCCCUACCUGUAAACUGGGGAUCCUAUGUGUUGAACAUAUCCCCUUGGGCUUUUUCAAAUUUAACGCUUUAUUUCCCCCCCCGGGAAAUUAUGCUCGCAAAAGUGAAACUAAAGGAAUUUGAGGGA